AACGUAGGAGACAAACGUUAUCCGGAGUUACUGGGCGUAAAGGGCGUGUAGGUGGUUUCGUAAGUCUGGCGUGAAAUUUCUCGGCUUAACCGAGGCAGGUCGUCGGAUACUGCGGAACUAGAGUCCGGGAGAGGAGAGUGGAAUUCCUGGUGUAGCGGUGAAAUGCGCAGAUAUCAGGAAGAACACCCGUGGCGAAAGCGGCUCUCUGGAACGGUACUGACGCUGAGACGCGAAAGCGUGGGGAGCGAACAGG
rnacentral:rRNA from 1 species